CCGGGUUUGUGAAGUUGUUCUGAAGUCAGAGUCCCUAUAUGGGAUGCACACCAGGUUUCUUGUAAGCAUCGUGAGUCACCCCAAACCAGCUUAGAUUAACAGAAUUAUUAUUUUGGUCAGGCAAUAAGUAUCGUUUUGGAGGGAGAUCUAGUCAUUGACAAUGAUUUCUUUUGUAUUAUUUGAUUG